AUAAAAGGUAGUGAAAGUGCUCUGAACUCCAGUCUGAUUUCCGAGAGAUACAGAAAAGAGAUAGUGAGAGAGAGAGCAAGAGAAAAUACUGCGCCGUAGCGUAGAGGUUCCCUUGUAUUUGUGCAGACCUUCAGAGGACACAGCAGAAGCUAGUACCAUUUCUAACAUGCUAAAGACUCAAGAUGCAGAGUUGUGACGUGAAUUUGGGACUGAGGACACAGUCCCCAGAACAUGGAACAGCUGAAAACACAGUGCAAAGCAGAAGCAAAGGAGUCAGGUAAUAUUGAAUCUUGAAAAAGAUGAGUGCUGUAUAAAGAGAAAUUACUGGAAGAAUGAGCUGAAAAGAAUAUAAGGGUACCCAGGCACAUGGCAAGAGUAAAAGAGCAUCCAAAUCUCUCCUGUUUUCAUGACAGCAAAUAUAUGUCUAAUUCUAAUACAAUUGCCUGGGUCCAGAA